rnacentral:lncRNA from 10 species
UUGUCAUUGGUUCUGUUUAUGUGAUGGAUUACCUUUAUUGAUUUGCAUAUGUUUAACCAGAUUUGCAUCCCAGGGAUGAAGCCGACUGGAUCGCGGUGGAUAAGCUUUUUGAUGUGCUGCUGGUUUCGGUUUGCCAGUGUUUUAUUGAGGAUUUUCGCAUUGAUGUUCAUCAGGGAUAUUGGUCUAAAAUUCUCUUUUUUGGUUGUGUCUCUGCCAGGCUUUGGUAUCAGGAUGAUGCUGACCUCAUAAAAUGAGUUAGGGAGG